GUGCUUGCUUUGGCAGCACAUUUACUAACACUGAAACAAUACAGAGAUCACCAUAGCCCGAGUAAGGAUGACACACAAAUUCAAAUUUGUGAAGCAACCCAUAUUU